rnacentral:rRNA from 1 species
GUAGGGAAUAUUGGGCAAUGGAGGCAACUCUGACCCAGCCAUGCCGCGUGCAGGAUGACGGCCCUCUGGGUUGUAAACUGCUUUUAUACGGGAAGAAAAAAUACUACGUGUAGUAUACUGACGGUACCGUAAGAAUAAGGAUCGGCUAACUCCGUGCCAGCAGCCGCGGUAAUACGGAGGAUCCAAGCGUUGUCCGGAUUUAUUGGGUUUAAAGGGUGCGUAGGCGGAUCUUUAAGUCAGUGGUGAAAGCCUGCAGCUUAACUGUAGAAUUGCCAUUGAAACUGAAGAUCUUGAAUGUGGUUAAAGUAGGCGGAAUGUAUCAUGUAGCGGUGAAAUGCUUAGAUAUGAUACAGAACACCGAUAGCGAAGGCAGCUUGUUGAACCAUUAUUGACGCUGAGGCACGAAAGCGUGGGGAGCGAACAGGAUUAGAAACCCUUGUAGUCC